UAACAAAAGAAGCUGACGAUGAUAAUCCUUCUUACCAGAAGACACUUAAAACCGGUAUGGUGCGCUGAGGACUCUGGUGCUCUGCCGCUUCCUUCUUCGCGUUUUGUAUCAUGCGGCGAUUUCUUAGUAGAAGCAGAAUUCAGCAAGCAUUGGAUUGUUCACCCACUAAUAGGGAACGUGAGUUGGGUUUAGACCGCCGUGAGACAGGUUAGUUUUACACUCCUGAUUAUGUGUUUUUGCAACAGUAAUCCUGCUCAGUACGAGAGGAACCGCAGGUUCAGACCCCUGGUGCUUGCCCUUGGCUGUGGAGCCACUGGUGCGAAGCUACCAUCUGCGGGCUAAUGACUGAACGCCUCUAAGUCAGAAUCCCGCCUAGACGUAGCGAUACCGCAGCGCCGCCGGCGCCUCGGUGGGCUCGCGAUAGCCGGCCGCCCGCCCGUUCCCGCGGGCGGGCCCGGUGCGGAGCGCCGCUCGUGGUCGGGACCGGAGGGGCGGACGGGUGCGGCGGCGCGUCGUCCUCCUCCUUCCUUCCUUCCUUCCUUCCUCCUCCGAGGUCUCUCUCGGCGGGCCGGGGCCGACAGGGGGCUCCGGUAGCGAAGGGCGCGCGGGGCGCCCUCGCUCGCGCGGGGUCCCGCCUUCGCGCCCUCCUCCGCGCGGGUCCCAGGCCCGAUACGCGGAGUCCGGGGGCCGGGCGGCGAGCCAAGGGGCCCGCGUGCCGCCGGCGGCGCGCUGGGGGGGAGAAGCGCGCGCGCGCGCGCUUCCACCCAGAGAGAGAGAGGCCCCGCCGGGCUGCCGCGCGGCCUCAGAUCGGAAGAGCGCCCCCCCCCCCCCCCCCCCCCCCCCCCCCCCCC
rnacentral:lncRNA from 12 species